UACGUAGGGGGCUAGCGUUGUCCGGAAUCAUUGGGCGUAAAGAGCGUGUAGGCGGCCCGGUAAGUCCGCUGUGAAAGUCGGGGGCUCAACCCUCGAAUGCCGGUGGAUACUGUCGGGCUAGAGUGCGGAAGAGGCGAGUGGAAUUCCUGGUGUAGCGGUGAAAUGCGCAGAUAUCAGGAGGAACACCAAUUGCGAAGGCAGCUCGCUGGGACGUAACUGACGAUGAGACGCGAAAGCGUGGGGAGCAAACAGG
rnacentral:rRNA from 1 species